GACGAACGCUGGCGGCGUGCUUAACACAUGCAAGUCGAACGGAAAGGCCCUGCUUUUGUGGGGUGCUCGAGUGGCGAACGGGUGAGUAACACGUGAGUAACCUGCCCUUGACUUUGGGAUAACUUCAGGAAACUGGGGCUAAUACCGGAUAGGAGCUCCUGCUGCAUGGUGGGGGUUGGAAAGUUUCGGCGGUUGGGGAUGGACUCGCGGCUUAUCAGCUUGUUGGUGGGGUAGUGGCUUACCAAGGCUUUGACGGGUAGCCGGCCUGGGAGGGUGACCGGCCACAUUGGGACUGAGAUAGGGACCAGACGCGUACGGGAGGCAGCAGUGGGGAAUAUUGCACAGUGGGCGGACGCCUGAUGCAGCAACGCCGCGUGCGGGAUGACGGCCUUCGGGUUGUAAACCGCUUUCGCCUGUGACGAAGCGUGAGUGACGGUAAUGGGUAAAGAAGCACCGGCUAACUACGUG
rnacentral:rRNA from 1 species